AGUACUUUACAAAACAUGGAUAGAGUCUGAUCUCAGAAGCUAAGCAGGACCGUGCCUAGUUAGUACUGGGAUGGGAGACUAAGCUGGAAGACCAGGGGCCACUA
rnacentral:rRNA from 12 species